UACGUAGGCAGCGAGCGUUGUUCGGAGUUACUGGGUGUAAAGGGUGUGUAGGCGGUUCUCUAAGUUUGGUGUGAAAUCUCCCGGCUCAACCGGGAGGGUGCGCCGAAAACUGGAGGGCUAGAGUGCGGGAUGGGAGAGUGGAAUUCCUGGUAUAGCGGUGAAAUGCGUAGAUAUCAGGAGGAACACCCAUGGCGAAGGCAGCUCUCUGGUCGACAUCUGACCGCUGAGACGCGAAAGCGUGGGGAGCGAACGGG
rnacentral:rRNA from 1 species